AUAUUCAGUGACGCCCCGCCCUAGUGGCGUCAAAUAACCCGCACGCCCAAAACACAAUUAUAAAACUAUCCAAUUUAGAUCAAAUGCCGUCUUUUAAAUAUAGCACUAUUGUCAACAGCUGUGGAAAGUAACUACACGCUGUCACCGACCGGGUCAGAGCCAUGACAGAUGGAGGCUGGAGGCGACGCGAGAGGUUGUGACAGGCAGCUCUCUGACUGGCUGUUGGUGUAAUGAUGCAAGGAUGACUCAUCCUCUAUUUUGAGCUCCGUGACUCUGGGUUUUGACCUUUCGUCUCCUUGGUGACCGCUGUGAUGUCAUCGCCUCGCCACACGGCUCAUUGUUGUCAUCCCCUCUAUCUGUCUCUCAUAUCCACUCAGGUCGGAUGGCAUCACAAAGCACUGAGAUGUCUGUCGCAGAUCAUACGGGUCAGGAGUUCAGAGUGAGCAAUGAGGAGGGAGAGAGAUAAAUGGAAAGGAACACAGAGUCAAACAAUGCCAAGACUGUAAUCAAAGCCAGCCUCAUUCUUUACACACAGUUACAUGAACCACACACUCCUCAGAGCAAGUUUCACUGUUUAACUCACCAACUGAUGGACUUCACUGACUGGUUAGAUCAUUUUACAAAUCACAUAUGACAGGUUAGAUUAUACAUGAAAAUGCCAAAUUAGAAAAACUACCUUUAAAUUGACAGCCAGGCUGAAGAUAUGUGGACACGCCAACAUUACACCCAUAUGUGACCCAAAACCAUUAAUCUGCUGUUACGACAACCUCCACUCCUCUGAGAUGGCUUUCGACAACAUGUUGGAUCUUACCAGGGCUGAGUCAGACUGCUUCGAAAUGUAACUGUACUUAAUAGGCUACAGGUUUCAUGGGACUUUUUUGUAAUUGGUGAUGUAAUUCAUGGGAUUGAAAACAAAUUCUGAUGGGAUUAUUUACGAAUCAAACAUUGAAAUAAUAGCACCAUUAUAUAGAAAAACUGACACAGAGUUCCACAAAUACUACAAGUUUACAGGUUAAAUUACCCUUACAGUGCUAGUACAAACUACAGGUGUACUCAAAAGAAUCAUUUGCCUAAAACAGGGAAGUUAACAU